CCUAAUUGGAGAGAACCUGAUUAUAGAGUAGAGAGAGAAACUGGAGUAUUUCAUAUAUGCCAAAAGGAAGCAGUACAAACUUAUAUAUACAUGCACUUAUUUUGUACAAUAGUAACCAGCUGUAGAAUUGACAUCACAACCUAACUAUCUAGCUGAAUUGCCAAAUUACAUAAAUAACCUUGCAUGUCCCGUAAGACUCCCCCUCAAGAUGGUUGAUGAAUAUUCCAAACACCCAUCUUGGAUAACAGCAACUGAAAUCUAGCUCCUCCUAACACCUUUGUCAACAAAUCUGCUAUCUGAUUUUGAGUGGACAGAUACAUGGUCUUUAUGUCUCUAGCUUGCACCUUUUCUCUUACUAGAUGGCAAUCCAGCUCUAUGUGCUUCGUCCUUUCAUGAAAAAUCGGGUUACCAGCUAUGUGUAUUGCUACCUGAUUAUCAUAGAACAGUAGAGCAGCCUUAGUGUGAUCAACUCCUAGGUCUGCCAACACAUUAUUGAGCCAAAUUAUUUCACAGACUGUUGUAGCCAUAGCCUUGUACUCUGCCUCAGCUGAUGAUCUUGAGAUGGUAUGUUGCUUCUUUGAUCGCCACGAUAUUAGGGAAUUCCCAAGAAACACGCAAAAGCCUG
rnacentral:lncRNA from 1 species